GAUGAAGAACGCAGCGAAAUGCGAUAAGUAGUGUGAAUUGCAGAAUUCAGUGAAUCAUCGAAUCUUUGAACGCACAUUGCGCCCUUUGGUAUUCCAAAGGGCAUGCCUGUUCGAGCGUCAUUUGUACCCUCAAGCUUUGCUUGGUGUUGGGCGUCUUGUCUCUAGCUUUGCUGGAGACUCGCCUUAAAGUAAUUGGCAGCCGGCCCACUGGUUUCGGAGCGCAGCACAAGUCGCACUCUCUAUCAGCAAAGGUCUAGCAUCCAUUAAGCCUUUUUUUCAACUUUUGACCUCGGAUCAGGUAGGGAUACCCGCUGAACUUAAGCAUAUCAAUAAGCGGAGGA
rnacentral:misc_RNA from 1 species